AACCAACGCUGGCGGCGUGCCUAAUACAUGCCAGUCGAACGGGGAAAGCUUUCGGGUGAGUACUAGUGGCGCACGGGUGAGGAACGCGUGGAUAAUCUGCCUUAGAGUGGGGGAUAACUAGUCGAAAGAUUAGCUAAUACCGCAUAAGACCACGAGAGCUGCGGCUUUUGAGGUCAAAGGUUUUUCGCUCUAAGAUGAGUCCGCGUAAGAUUAGCUAGUUGGUGAGGUAACGGCUCACCAAGGCGACGAUCUUUAACUGGUCUGAGAGGAUGAUCAGUCACACUGGAACUGAGACACGGUCCAGACUCCUACGGGAGGCAGCAGUAGGGAAUAUUGCACAAUGGAGGAAACUCUGAUGCAGCGACGCCGCGUGAGUGAUGAAGGCCUUCGGGUCGUAAAGCUCUGUCGCAGGGGAAUAACACAAUGAAGGUACCCUGUAAGAAAGGAUCGGCUAACUUCGUG
rnacentral:rRNA from 1 species